AACCCCGGCGACAUGAAGUGAAGUUUGUGGAAAAGACGAAGGAGGCUGACUACUGGGCGAGUUCUUCACAAUAUUUUAAAAUGCCAGCUAUUAAAAUAUAGGGGCCUCCCAAGACAAGGUGCUGGUUUCACCUGGGGCCGGCAGGUGGCGACGCUGAGCAGAAGCGGCCGCGUGAUGCUCGAGGUGAACCGCGCCCUGGGUGUCCAGUACGGGCAGUGCCGCAGCGGUCGAGACCAGUACAUCAAGAUCCACUGGGAGUGCGUCGGCAAGGGCAAGGGCAAGGGGAAGGGCGUGUAAAAGAACACGUAACGAGACGGCCCUUGGGGGGGGAGAUCGCGCUUCUGCGCGUCAAGCCUUUAUCUGGGUCGCGAUCCCCUGGAUGUAGAUGAACUUCAGGGCAAUGCGACAGUCGCUGCGCCCUGAAGUUUGCAAAGUUUGCAAAGUAGCCGUUUCCAAGAAAGCCGGUGUGUUCAUGCGGCGCCUUUUUUUAUUUUGUAAACCUCCCACAAGGCCCGGGUUCGGCCUGAAUCAGACAGCCGAGUUGAUUUAAUGUAAGCCCCAGUGCCUAUUCCGGUACGGCUUGAUUAAAGCUUUGGAAGCUCGAUGGCUGCUUUUAGCGGGGGAACCUUUGUUGAGUGUCGCUCCAGACGGAGAAGUAAUGCAGAGGAGGAAGGUGCUGAUGGGGGGGGGGCACUCUCGGUGUUCUGCCUUCUCUUUUCAGGAAGUUCGUACAAUGUCGAGAAACAAGACACCGGUCAUCUAGACAUCCCCUGUGCCUACUUCCCCAUCAUGGAUUACGGAAGAUAAACAAGUGGAGGCUCAGCCGAUGUGGGCAUGCUGAUGUCUGCAGCGCAUUAUUCACAGAAGCAGAGGGAGUCCUGACGUCUGCAACUGUCCCAUCACAACAUCCAGAUAAUUCCAGCUGUGUUCCUGAUCCGCCUCCCAUUGCAAAAGUGGACUGUGGUGUGACUCUGACAGCAUCAAAGGGAGAAUUCUCAUCUCUGAACUUCCCCUUUCUAUCCCAAUAAUUACGAGUGUACAUGGGCCCUCAUAAGCUCCACCUGGGUACAAGGACAGGAUAUUUGAUCAUCCUCUUACACUGCCAGCGACAGUGGGAUUCCUGGUAUUUUUUUAAAUACAGUAUUAGGUAUUUGUUUUUUUUUCAACAAAACUUUUAUUGUCUAUGUUCCCUUGUUUCAGGUUUGAGCUGUUUUUUUUUAAAUGCCUUGUUUGCAACAGUAAUUUUAAAAAGCAGACUGCAUAACACUUGCAUUUUUUUAACUGUCUUUUUCCAGAAGUUAUCUUGUGAUCCUGCCAAGUCUGUGUGCUGAAUAUACUUAUUCCUGGCAAAAACAAGAUUCAGUGCAAAUCAUCAGAAUAAGUUAGGGACCCCCCUUUACUUAUCAGCAAGUGCCACUAUGAAUAAUUAUAAAUAAUUAUAAAAACAUCAUAAAACUGCAUGCUUAGCUCUGCGACAACUGAGCUUUGUGGUGUAGAGAGGUAAGCAGAUAGCCAGUUUGGCAUUGUGUAUCAGCCUGUAUUGGUAUUAAACAAUCAAUUUGCUGAAAGGAAGAGGAAUACAUUACUAAAAAAUGCAAAGGUUUUAGAUGUCACCAACAGCAACGGAAAGAGAGCUUUGUGUUUCUCAGAAAGUUUAUUCAAUUCUGUACUGAAGGCUUACAAACAGACAUGCUGGCUUGGUACUGCUGCAGACAUCUUGGCAGUCUGACUCCUGCUGCA